GUUGAGUUAUAAAAAGUGGAAGAAAAUGAUAAAAAGGCGGUUUUACAAGCUUGAACAUGGUGAUAGAGAUGCUCCUUCGCAGUCCUCUUCAUCCUCCGACUCUGAAUUUGAGGCAGAGGAAACAGAAGACGAACAGGAGGAGGAGGAAGAGGAAGAGGGCGUGAUUGUUCCAUCAGAUUUUUGUUUUUUCCUUUUUGGGUUGAGAAAAUGAAUAUAUCUGAUG
rnacentral:misc_RNA from 1 species